rnacentral:misc_RNA from 1 species
AUUUUAUUUAGCUCAGAAUUGCAAAUUGCAUGGCUAGUGCAUCAUUUCUGUGAUGAGUUCAUUGCUAAUGGUAAAUAUUCAUUGAAUGGUAACAUUAUUUUAUUCGUAAAGAUUCAUUGAUUGGAAACAUUUACUACUUUUAUAGUGCAUUGCAUCAUGUUAAUGUAGUAACUUUACCCUUGUCGUAUUGUUGUAGCUUUGCAGUCAACUUCUUGUUCUUAGAGUAAUCAUUAAUGGUGGUAUAAGAUGUUUGAAGUAGGACAUCAAUGAAAGUUUGUGAUCUGGCAUAUUCAUUCUGAAAUUUUUUGUUAACAAGUGCUUCUCCACUCCAGCUGCUAUGUUAUUUCCUACUGUUACUUUUUAUCCAGGGGUUGCUAAGAUUAUAUUGAAUAUCUAAUUUAUUGCAUUCUAAAUUAAUGAAUUAGUUUUUGGAGGAAAAGGAGCCUG